UACGUAGGGGGCAAGCGUUGUCCGGAUUUAUUGGGCGUAAAGAGCGUGUAGGCGGCCAUGUAGGUCCGUUGUGAAAACUCGAGGCUCAACCUCGAGACGCCGAUGGAAACCAUGUGGCUAGAGUCCGGAAGAGGAGAGUGGAAUUCCCGGUGUAGCGGUGAAAUGCGCAGAUAUCGGGAAGAACACCCGUGGCGAAGGCGGUUCUCUGGGACGGUACUGACGCUGAGACGCGAAAGCGUGGGGAGCGAACAGG
rnacentral:rRNA from 1 species